GCCGAAGUAGCUCAAUUGGUAGAGCAACUGACUUGUAAUCAGUAGGUUGCGGGUUCAAUUCCUGUCUUCGGCACCA
rnacentral:tRNA from 1 species